CUACUUUGCUGACGAGCGGCGGACGGGUGAGUAAUGCUUGGGAACAUGCCUUGAGGUGGGGGACAACAGUUGGAAACGACUGCUAAUACCGCAUAAUGUCUACGGACCAAAGGGGGCUUCGGCUCUCGCCUUUAGAUUGGCCCAAGUGGGAUUAGCUAGUUGGUGAGGUAAUGGCUCACCAAGGCGACGAUCCCUAGCUGGUUUGAGAGGAUGAUCAGCCACACUGGGACUGAGACACGGCCCAGACUCCUACGGGAGGCAGCAAUGGGGAAUAUUGCACAAUGGGCGCAAGCCUGAUGCAGCCAUGCCGCGUGUGUGAAGAAGGCCUUCGGGUUGUAAAGCACUUUCAGUCAGGAGGAAAGGUUAGUAGUUAAUACCUGCUAGCUGUGACGUUACUGACAGAAGAAGCACCGGCUAACUCCGUGCCAGCAGCCGCGGUAAUACGGAGGGUGCGAGCGUUAAUCGGAAUUACUGGGCGUAAAGCGUACGCAGGCGGUUUGUUAAGCGAGAUGUGAAAGCCCCGGGCUCAACCUGGGAACUGCAUUUCGAACUGGCAAACUAGAGUGUGAUAGAGGGUGGUAGAAUUUCAGGUGUAGCGGUGAAAUGCGUAGAGAUCUGAAGGAAUACCGAUGGCGAAGGCAGCCACCUGG
rnacentral:rRNA from 1 species